CCCGGUCCCCGGAUGAAAGGCAGGGGGCGGUCCAUGAAGCCAGCUCAAAGAGGCGGCAGAGGAGUAAGGAGUUCGGCGUCACCCGCCUCGUUAGGUGAAAAUGACAGCAGAAUCAAUAAAGAGAAUUGUAAGACUGAGUUGUGUUUCCCCCACAAUUCAUAUGUUGAAGGCUGUUGGGCAGAAACACCAUGCAUUGGUUAUCGAUGUCAGAGGAGGCCUUCAUGGAGGAUAGCAGAGAUCAUCACAGUGACAGCCACCAGCAAUAGAAGUCUAAACACUUCUGUCUGCUUCAUCUUGUUAUUGGAGUUGCCAAGAAAAUCACAGCACAGUCAAGCACUGGAUGGAACAACUCUAUACUCAUAGAGAGAAGAGACAGGAAACUCGACUCCAAUAGCAUGUAUUGGCCCCCAUGGCUGGCAGAAGCCCCCAGCAGCUGACACAGGGAAAUUGGCCUACGAGCAUUGCUCUUGCCGUAGUGGAAGGAUUCCUUCCCUUCCCCCAAGGAGUGAGAAAUACUAAAUGCUAGGAGUGGGCCAGAACAAAGCAGAGCAAAGGAGUACACAUUGAGCCUGCAACUGGAAAACAUACUCCCACCCAAGGUGCUAGGCCCAGAACAGGCUGUGUGGACAAUUUAUCUUCUAGUAAGGAAGUAUUCCAGGCCCCUGGCCCCCUCUUAUGUGACUGAUGGGGUACUCACCAUCUGCCUUUCCCAACAAAUCUGACUGCAUUUGGAGACGGGCCUUUAGGAAGGUAAGUGUUAAGCGAGAUCAUAAAGGUGGGUCCUAAUCCAAUAGCACUGACAUCCUUAUGAGAAGAAGAGACACAAGGGAUGGAAGUGCACAGUGAAAAGGACACAGCAAGAAGGUGACCACCUGCAAGCCAAUGAGUGAGGUUUUACGAGAAACCAAAUCUGCCAAGAAUGUCAUCUUGGACUUCCAGCUUCCAGAACUGUGAGAAAAUAAAUUUCGGUUGCUUAAGCCUACCACUCUUGUAUUUUGUUAUGAUAAUCCUAGCAAAGUAAUAUAUUAAUCAUCUUAAGAUUCAUGAACAAUAGAAUGCCCUCCACCCGUCUCCCUGCAGAGAUAACGUUUUACUGGUGCUUCUUGAGGUGUUUACACCAAUACACACACAGGGGACAUUUUUUUUUUUUCUUUUAAGGGAUGUGGAGGAUAUGUGACAUUUUCAUUGCCUUUCCAUUUGAAAAAUAAAGUUUCAACAAGAAAUGUGUAAAUAGAUUAUGUUUGCCAUACUAUAUUGUAUAACAUUGUUAUCAAACUUUGGCCUGUGAUAUCUUUUAAGUCAGAGACCACAAUUUUCUAAAUUUGACACUCACCAAUUAGUGCAAUUACUAACACACGUUAACUACACAAAUACGUAUUUGGUGAAACACAGACCAAAGCUAAUUGGUAAGGAAAAAAGCUUGUGUUUUGAAGCACGUGAUUCCAUACUCGAGGUAUUUCAAAUGGCCUGUCGCCAAAUAUAAGUCUCUGAACAAAGUGUAGAACUAUGAUUAAUGUAAAAGAAAAACUAUUUGAUGAUAUUAAUUAAAAAGAACCUAAAUAAUUCAAAACAAAAACAAAAUAAUAAAAUACUAAUUUCAAGUUCAAAGUUAUGACCAUACAUAAAAUAAAUUAUUGUAACUUUGAUAUAUUUAAUGUCUAAAAGACUCUAAGUCUCCUAAAUUUGAUGAUUAAAUGGCCCAAUUUUGUAAAUGUAAUAAAAUAAAUUUUAAG
ensembl:lncRNA